rnacentral:rRNA from 2 species
AAGGCCGAGAACUGAUGACGAGUGUUCUUUUAGAACACGAAGUGGUUGAUGCCAUGCUUCCAGGAAAAGCCUCUAAGCUUCAGGUAACUAGAAAUCGUACCCCAAACCGACACAGGUGGUCAGGUAGAGAAUACCAAGGCGCUUGAGAGAACUCGGGUGAAGGAACUAGGCAAAAUGGCACCGUAACUUCGGGAGAAGGUGCGCCGGCUAGGGUGAAGGACUUGCUCCGUAAGCUCUGGCUGGUCGAAGAUACCAGGCCGCUGCAACUGUUUAUUAAAAACAUAGCACUCUGCAAACACGAAAGUGGACGUAUAGGGUGUGACGCCUGCCCGGUGCCGGAAGGUUAAUUGAUGGGGUUAGCUUCGGCGAAGCUCUUGAUCGAAGCCCCGGUAAACGGCGGCCGUAACUAUAACGGUCCUAAGGUAGCGAAAUUCCUUGUCGGGUAAGUUCCGACCUGCACGAAUGGCGUAAUGAUGGCGGCGCUGUCUCCACCCGAGACUCAGUGAAAUUGAAAUCGCUGUGAAGAUGCAGUGUAUCCGCGGCUAGACGGAAAGACCCCGUGAACCUUUACUAUAGCUUUGCACUGGACUUUGAAUUUGCUUGUGUAGGAUAGGUGGGAGGCUGUGAAGCGUGGACGCCAGUUCGCGUGGAGCCAACCUUGAAAUACCACCCUGGCAACUUUGAGGUUCUAACUCUGGUCCGUUAUCCGGAUCGAGGACAGUGUAUGGUGGGUAGUUUGACUGGGGCGGUCUCCUCCUAAAGAGUAACGGAGGAGUACGAAGGUGCGCUCAGCACGGUCGGAAAUCGUGCGUAGAGUAUAAAGGCAAAAGCGCGCUUGACUGCGAGACCAACACGUCGAGCAGGUACGAAAGUAGGUCUUAGUGAUCCGGUGGUUCUGUAUGGAAGGGCCAUCGCUCAACGGAUAAAAGGUACUCCGGGGAUAACAGGCUGAUACCGCCCAAGAGUUCAUAUCGACGGCGGUGUUUGGCACCUCGAUGUCGGCUCAUCACAUCCUGGGGCUGAAGCCGGUCCCAAGGGUAUGGCUGUUCGCCAUUUAAAGUGGUACGCGAGCUGGGUUUAGAACGUCGUGAGACAGUUCGGUCCCUAUCUGCCGUGGACGUUUGAGAUUUGAGAGGGGCUGCUCCUAGUACGAGAGGACCGGAGUGGACGAACCUCUGGUGUUCCGGUUGUCACGCCAGUGGCAUUGCCGGGUAGCUACGUUCGGAAAAGAUAACCGCUGAAAGCAUCUAAGCGGGAAACUUGCCUCAAGAUGAGAUCUCACCGGGGACUUGAUCCCCCUGAAGGGCCGUCGAAGACUACGACGUUGAUAGGCUGGGUGUGUAAGCGUUGUGAGGCGUUGAGCUAACCAGUACUAAUUGCCCGUGUGGCUUGACCAUAUAACGCCCAAACAAUUUGGGCCAUGGCCUGACACAUUGAUUGA